rnacentral:tRNA from 1 species
AAUAAAGUGCCUGAAAAAAGGGUUAUUCUGAUAGGAUAAAUAAUGUAAUUAAAAUUACCUUUAUUA